GAUGUAAGCAGGUACAUCCCAGAAACACAUCACAGCAGAUCCUUCAGCUGUGCCCUCACCCCUGCUCUUGGGGCGUCACACUGUCUCCCUCCCUGAAACAUGCUGAAUAGCUCACAGGCUUCCCGGAGGGGUGGUCACAUGACCCCCCCCUGGCCAAUCAGCAUGUUCCAUCCUCCUGGACGCCUGUGAUUGGCUCAGGGCUGGACAAAUGACUAAUCAGGGCAUAAGCUGGAAUCCUGGGGAAUGGAGGUUUAUUUCCGUUAGGAACAGGGGAUACCUGAGGCCAGCCUGUGGCAGUUGGAGGGAUGUGACGUCAGCCUGUGGCAGUUGGAGGGCUUGUUCCACAAAGGCAGAGCUACUUGGGUGAGGAUGACAGCAGUAAGCAGAGCUGAGAGGUGGGGAAAGACAAUUCCUGCUGACGUCCCUGAGACCCAGCCUCCCGUGGUGCCACAGGAGAGACCCAGCGAACAAUGAAUUGACAGCUCAGCACAGGAAGGCAGGUGAGAGGCUGUGUGCUGUUGAGAAUGGAAACUCGCCGCUUCACUCCGUCCGUGUGCUGGGUCUGGAGUCCACCCCCUACACAGUAGGGCCUCAGUGAACCUGCACUGCGUGUGUGGACGCCGAGGCCAUGGACAAGAAGGUUCCAGGCGGUGAUGGGCCCUCUGGUCACCAGCAGCCUGAGACAUCUUGGCCAGUGGAAGGAGACUGUGUCCUGCCCUACUCAUGGAUGCCCUGCUCUCUCUGGAACUGUGAUGGACAAAUAGAGUGACCAGAGGCAGCUGUAGCCCAGCCAGCCCCACCCCACACCUCACAGAAGAGGAGAGUCUGUGAGCACAAUGUUCCGUCAUCAGAGUCAACUACUGUCCAGCCCUGAGGUGGGGAUGUCUGGAGAUGGAGAGCACAGAGCACUGGUGUGGAUGGUCCCGGAAGCAAGGGGGCUGGCCCAGGCCCCUCUCCCCAGCCUGGCUCCUGACCUCUGUCCUGUGUGUGCCUGACACUCCAGCUUCCUCCUGCCAGACUGCCUGCUCCCCGGUCCCUGUGGUCACACCCACACAUCAGGACAAUUCCCCCCACCAAAGGGGAGAUCCUGACAUCUGCAUGAGAGUCAGGAGACUCAGCUGCACAGGGACCUGAUCACACUGCACACAGGCUUUCACGGGACUCUGUCCUAGUUAUGGGCAUCUCAGUCAUGAUUAACACAGGCCCCAGGGACCAAAAGUUCCCCUCAGCCCUUCUGAAGAUGUUGGGUAAUGUCAGUGCAGGGAGGUCAUACACACUUUCUGCAUCUCGGCCCUGCAGCGCAGCAGUUGUUGCUGUUGGAAGUCACUGUCCUUAUUUUCUUGGUUGUCUUUGCAUUUAGUUGUUCUGAUUUACUUCUAGUACCACGUGACUGCACGCUUCUUAGACUGGAAAAUACACAGCCUCAAUUCUGUUCAGGGAGGAUGCAAAACUGGAGCAUCAAGUUUAUCAACAGGAAUUGGAAGAACCAAAGAGCUGACAAGAACUCUCCCGCGCCCCCUCUCACAUGGAGGACAGAAGAGUGGGGUAGGGAGACAUGCCCAGGAGAGGCAGUCGGGUCUCUGCAGUUGCAGGUGAGAGCCGAGGGGGGCCCUGCAGCCAGGUGGGCCCUCUUCUGGUCGCCAGGCCGCUGCAGACCGUCCUCUGAGCUGGCCAGGGCUUUGGAUACGAUGCUUCUGAAGGCCGUGGAGGGGUGGGAUACCCUCCUGAUUCAAAUCUUGUCAGAGGAUUCGACCCCCCGACCACUGCCAGGGAGGGCGUCUUGACGUUUCUUCUUGGGUCAUCCAUGGACUUUCCCUGGGCUCCGUUUGUUACGCCGCCUCUUGCUGGGCAGACUGUUAAACACCUUCUUAUUCUCAGGCAAGCCCUGCUCUUCCUGGCUGUGGCCAGAGGAAAGUGUCUGGGGACACACGCUCAGGCUGCCCAGCGUGGGAGGAGCUCCUGGUGUUGGACACAUCCAGGGGCAGCUGCUUCCCUCUGGAACUCCAGUCCUGCUGCUGGUGUUGCUGGUGGAGGGAAGGCCUCAGGGCCACACGGGGGGCUGGGCUGGGGAUGGCGGGCCUCUGCUCCAGGCCGGGUGGAGACCGGCAGGCUCUCUGAUCUUCUGCCCUGACUCCUGGUCCUCCUGCAGUUGUACAUUUUACUUACCUCUGGCCACAGCCAUAAAGAGCAGGGUUCACUUGAAAAUAUGCAGGAUUAUAAUAGUCUGCCCAGCAAGAGGCUGCGUAACAAACGGAGCCCUGGUUGAGCCAUGUGGUAUAAGUAUGGACACCUCAGGCCUUAGGGAAGGCUUGUUAUGGCUGCUGAGGUCCAUGGGAGGGGAGAGCCUCGCAGUGAUGGAGCAGCCGUCCACCUUGUGUUCCCCUGAGCUUACGGUGCAGUGCCUGCUGCCUGUUCCCUGAGUCACGGAUCAGGUCCCACCUCGACACCAGUGUCCUCACCACUGUCACCCCCGGGGUCACAGGGCGGCACACAGAAUGGCCUGAGCGGCUCCUUCUGGCCCAGGUUCACCCCUGGAGGCCUUGUCAGUCAUUUAAGGUGCUUUUGUCACUGGGGUUGAGGACCAUAUUUUUUUAGCAAAUUCCUUCUCUGAUGACAGACACAGGGGAAUGGGGUGUUGCCCUACGAGGAUUCACAGCCACAGCUCUGAGAAGUCCUGUCCCCCAAAGGGCAGGGUCCCGGUCACCAUGAGUAGAGAACUACUCCCAGACUCCACACAUCCACCACAGGGCAGUCGGAGCCCUGUCCCCGAAAGAAUUCUCAGGCAGUAAGUGCAGCUGCCAUAGAAGUGUUGAGCUUCCCACUCUCAUCACACUCAUUGCUGAGGCCAAAGUCUGUAAUUUUCACACACUACUUGGUGUCAAAGAGGAGGUUCCCUGGCUUCAGGUCACAGUGCAGGACGUGCCUCUGGAGGCCGAGCUGCAGGGCAGAGACCAGCUGUCUGAGUGGCCCUCGGGUGUCAGCCUCUGUCAUGUCCCAUGGUCCUCAAAAUGGCUGCACAUGUCCCGCUCACUGAGGCCCUUAUCUCCAGGAAGAAGGUCUCCUCUGUGUCAGUCACCUCCAGGAGUUUGACGAUGUUUUCAUGGUCCAGAGCCUUCAUACUAUUCACUUCCCAGAAGAGUCCUGGAGGCUGGAGGACCUUUGCUGACUCUUCUUAAUGACCUUUAUGGCCAACUCUGUCCCAGUCAGAAUGUACUGGGCUCACUUUGGCGAAUCAACCUUUACCAAUAAUGUAAAGAAUCGCAAUUCUCAAUAGAAGCCUUGUCCCCGAGACGGCUGUGAGGCCCAGCACCAUGGUGAUCUGCUGACUACACUGACUGCCAGCAUUAACUAGCAAUGCUAACUAUGCUAACUAUGCUAAUUAUAUUCCUGCAGCAGGGAGUCCUCCAGGUUGGAGUGAAGGGCUCUGGAUGGCAGCUCAAAAUGUUAGGAAUUCACAUUUGGUAAAAGUAGAUAGGCAGGCAAUUAGAAAAGCUAGCCUCGGGACUUCUCUGGUAGUCCAGUGAUUAACAAUCUCUGGUGCUAAUGCAAGAGGACUAGGUUGAAACUGGUCCAAUCCCUGGUCAGGGAAGUAGAUCCCACAAGCUACAACUAAGACCCAGUGCAGUCAAAUUAAAUAAAAAAAAAAAGCUAGUCCUAUUUUAACUUUGGUUUGUAGCUCCACUUUUUGUUUUCUCUUUGACAAGAUUAAUAAAGUUUAAAAAUUUGUCUGCUUUUGGA